AUGAAGCAGAAAGAUCCAUUAAAGCCAAGUUCAUUCACUUGUCUGAGAAGAUGGUUAAUAAAAAUGAAGUCCACCCUUCUUCAAAAGUCGGGCAUACCCCCGACAAUCUCCUUCGGGCAACCAUUACCAGUCCGGAAUAAUGUAGUUGAAGUGCGUAGAGGUUUACAUGAAAAAAAAAUCAGAUUAAUGCAUAAGGAUGAAGGUGACAGUGAUUACAAAAUGCAUAAUAGUGAUAAAUUCGAGAGAUUAUGGGUCUGUUUGGAUAAACAAUUUAUUUGGAGCUUAUAG